UACGAAGGGGGCUAGCGUUGUUCGGAAUGACUGGGCGUAAAGGGCGCGUAGGCGGCGCAUCAAGUCGGGCGUGAAAGCCCCGGGCUCAACCUGGGAACUGCGUUCGAGACUGGUGUGCUGGAGUUCGGGAGAGGAGAGUGGAAUUCCCAGUGUAGAGGUGAAAUUCGUAGAUAUUGGGAAGAACACCGAUGGCGAAGGCAGCUCUCUGGACCGAUACUGACGCUGAGGCGCGAAAGCGUGGGGAGCAAACAGG
rnacentral:rRNA from 1 species